rnacentral:rRNA from 1 species
CAGCAGCCACGGUAAUACAGAGGGUGCGAGCGUUAAUCGGAUUUACUGGGCGUAAAGCGUGCGUAGGCGGCUUUUUAAGUCGGAUGUGAAAUCCCCGGGCUCAACCUGGGAAUGGCAGUGGAUACUGGCUCGCUAGAGUGUGUCAGAGGAUGGUGGAAUUCCCGGUGUAGCGGUGAAAUGCGUAGAGAUCGGGAGGAACAUCAGUGGCGAAGGCGGCCAUCUGGGACAACACUGACGCUGAGGCACGAAAGCGUGGGGAGCAAACAGGAUUAGAUACCCCGGUAGUCCCUGUCUCUUAUAC